CUUGCUUCUCUUGAGAGCGGCGGACGGGUGAGUAAUGCCUAGGAAUCUGCCUGGUAGUGGGGGAUAACGUCCGGAAACGGACGCUAAUACCGCAUACGUCCUACGGGAGAAAGCAGGGGACCUUCGGGCCUUGCGCUAUCAGAUGAGCCUAGGUCGGAUUAGCUAGUUGGUGGGGUAAUGGCUCACCAAGGCGACGAUCCGUAACUGGUCUGAGAGGAUGAUCAGUCACACUGGAACUGAGACACGGUCCAGACUCCUACGGGAGGCAGCAGUGGGGAAUAUUGGACAAUGGGCGAAAGCCUGAUCCAGCCAUGCCGCGUGUGUGAAGAAGGUCUUCGGAUUGUAAAGCACUUUAAGUUGGGAGGAAGGGCAGUAAAUUAAUACUUUGCUGUUUUGACGUUACCGACAGAAUAAGCACCGGCUAACUCUGUGCCAGCAGCCGCGGUAAUACAGAGGGUGCAAGCGUUAAUCGGAAUUACUGGGCGUAAAGCGCGCGUAGGUGGUUCGUUAAGUUGGAUGUGAAAUCCCCGGGCUCAACCUGGGAACUGCAUUCAAAACUGACGAGCUAGAGUAUGGUAGAGGGUGGUGGGAAUUUCCUGUGUAGCGGUGAAAUGCGUAGAUAUAUGAAGGAACACCAGUGGCGAA
rnacentral:rRNA from 1 species